GACGAACGCUGGCGGCGUGCUUAACACAUGCAAGUCGAACGACGUGGCGACCGGGUGAGUAACGAGUAAUCAACCUGCCCUUCAGAGGGGGACAACAGUUGGAAACGACUGAUAAUACCGCAUACUGAAGGAGGGGAUUUCGUGUGAUUAGCUAGUUGGAGGGGUAACGGCCCACCAAGGCGAUGAUCAGUAGCCGGUCUGAUAGCAUGAACGGCCACAUUGGGACUGAUGCACGGCCCAGACUCCUACGGGAGGCAGCAGUGGGGAAUCUUCCGCAAUGGACGAAAGUCUGACGGAGCAACGCCGCGUGAGUGAUGACGGCCUUCGGGUUGGAAAGCUCUGUUAAUCGGGACGCGGUACCUGAAUAGAAAGCCACGGCUAACUACGUGCCAGCAGCCGCGGUAAUUC
rnacentral:rRNA from 1 species